rnacentral:rRNA from 1 species
GGGCCCGCACAAGCGGUGGAGCAUGUGGUUUAAUUCGAUGAUACGCGAGGAACCUUACCAGGGCUUAAAUGUAGUCUGACAGGGGUGGAAACACCCCCUCCUUCGGGCAGAUUACAAGGUGCUGCAUGGUUGUCGUCAGCUCGUGCCGUGAGGUGUCAGGUUAAGUCCCCGCAACGAGCGCAACCCCUAUCGUUAGUUGCCAGCAUGUAAAGAUGGGGACUCUAACGGGACUGCCGGUGCAAACCGUGAGGAAGGUGGGGAUGACGUCAAAUCAUCACGGCCCUUACGUCCUGGCCUACACACGUGCUACAAUGGCCGGUACAGAGGGCAGCCACACCGCAAGGUGGAGCGAA